GUGCUCACUUCAGAAGCACAUAUGCUAAAAUUGGAACAAUACAGAGAAGAUUAGCAUGACCCCUGCACAAGGAUGACACACAAAUUUGUGAAGCAGUCUAUAUUUUU